GGCCCCGUCGUCUAGAGGCCUAGGACGCCGGCCUCUCAAGCCGGUAACGCCAGUUCGAAUCUGGUCGGGGCUACCA
rnacentral:tRNA from 3 species